rnacentral:rRNA from 1 species
CCUACGGGAGGCAGCAGUAGGGAAUUUUCGGCAAUGGGGGGAACCCUGACCGAGCAACGCCGCGUGAACGAAGAAGUUAUUCGUAAUGUAAAGUUCUUUUAACAGGGAAGAAAGAGAAAUUUGACGGUACCUGAAGAAUAAGCUCCGGCUAACUACGUGCCAGCAGCCGCGGUAAUACGUAGGGAGCGAGCGUUAUACGGAAUUAUUGGGCGUAAGGGGUGCGUAGAUGGCAUAGUAAGUCUUUUGUAAAAAUGCUGGGUUCACCCCAGUAGGGCAAAAGAUACUGCAAAGCUAGAGUAUGACAGAGGAAAGUGGAACUACAGGUGUAGCGGUAAAAUGCGUAAAUAUAUGUAAGAACACCAGUGGCGAAGGCGGCUAGCUGGGUCGAUACUGACAUUGAGGCACGAAAGCGUGGGGAGCAAACAGGAUUAGAUACCCGGGUAGUC